rnacentral:rRNA from 1 species
GAUGAAAGCUGACAGAAUGCUUAACACAUGCAAGUCGACUUGUGGCGGACGGGUGAGUAACGCGUAAAGAACUUGCCUCACAGCUAGGGACAACAGUUGGAAACGAAUGGUAAUAACUAAUACUGUGAGAGAGCUUUGCGUCCCAUUAGCUAGUUGGGGCGGUAACGGCUCACAAAGGCGAUGAUGGUGAGCCGGCCGGGGAGGGGGAUCGGCCACAAGGGGAUUGAGACACGUCCCUGACUCCUACGGGAGGCAGCAGUGGGGAAUAUUCGACAAUGUACCAAAGUCUGAUCCAGCAAUUCUGUGUGCACGAUGAAGUUUUCGGAAUGUACAGUGCUUUCAGUUGGGAAGCGGUACCUACAGAAGAAGCGACGGCUAAAUACGUGCCAGCAGCCGCGGUAAUUC